rnacentral:rRNA from 1 species
GACGAACCGUGCGAACGGUGUUCGGAAUCACUGGGCUUAAAGGGCGCGUAGGCGGGCUUGCAAGUCUGUGGUGAAAUCCUCCAGCCCAACUGGAGAACUGCCGUGGAUACUGCGAGUCUCGAGGGAGGUAGGGGCGUGCGGAACAGAUGGUGGAGCGGUGAAAUGCGUUGAUAUCAUCUGGAACUCCGGUGGCGAAGGCGGCACGCUGGACCUCAUCUGACGCUGAGGCGCGAAAGCUAGGGGAGCAAACGGG